UAGGUCGUGUUAUUUAAAUGUCGAUGGUAUAAUUUAGGAUAACACAGGCUAAUUGUUAUAGACCCUCAACUUGUCAGUGUCCACAUCGGUCACUUAUGGUAUGAAAGUGAUCCUUAUAUUUUUGCAAAGUAAGUGAGACUAGUGUGGUAUAUUUUGAAUAUCAAAACGAAAGAGCCUUGGUGAGUUGCAAUAAGGGCUCAGCAUAGAUAUUUGUUCGAUCUUGCACUUUUCACAUGUCCGAAUGAUGAAG
rnacentral:lncRNA from 1 species